ACUGCCGGCGACAAGUCGGAGGAAGGUGGGAUGACGUCAAAUCAUCAUGCCCCUUAUGACCUGGGCUACACACGUGCUACAAUGGGCGGUACAAAGGGCUGCGAACCCGCGAGGGGGAGCGAAUCCCAAAAAGCCGCUCUCAGUUCGGAUUGCAGGCUGCAACUCGCCUGCAUGAAGCCGGAAUCGCUAGUAAUCGCGGAUCAGCAUGCCGCGGUCGAAUACGUUCCCGGGCCUU
rnacentral:rRNA from 1 species